GAUUAAGGGUCACCACUCGGUGUGGGAUUCUCACCUUUUUAAUUAUGGAAGCUGGGAAGUACUGAGGUAUCUUCUUUCAAAUGCAAGAUGGUGGCUGGAGGAGUAUAAGUUUGAUGGGUACAGAUUUGAUGGUGUGACUUCAAUGAUGUACAAGAUUUCCUUGAUUAAGUAAAUGUAUUAUUUAUUUGAUUAAGAAAAUGCAUUGUAUGUUUUAUUACCUUGCAUAUGUAUUAUUUAUUUUAGUUUUGAUUCUAAAUUUUUAUUUUUACUUAAGAGUUCUAACUUUUGGAUUUUAA